CCCGACAGUUAUAUAACUGCGUACAACUUAAUUAAAGCUGAGACAAUAACCAGCGGUUAUUCUAGUACUCCUUGUCUAGCCCCGAUAGUUAAGAUUAACUACGUACAACUUAAAUAAAGCUCAAACAAUAAUCAGCGGUUAUGCUAGCACUACCUGUCUAGCACUUUGUAAGGUCCAGGCACUCGGUCCAAGGAAGGUAUCCGGUGCUGGCUGAAGGUUGCUUGCGCGUUCGGUCUUUUCAGUGCGUAGAGUUAUUCAAUUUAAAUCCAAUUCUAAUCUGACUCCAUUUUAAUAAUUCAUCUGACUCCAUU
ensembl:lncRNA